AGCGGGGAGAGGGACGAGCCGCGCGCUGAUUGGGCGGCGCGGCCGCCAGGUGCGCUGCCAUUGGCAGAGGCGCGCACAGGUGAGGAAGGAGCCGCCGCCGAGCGCCAGUUGGAACCAGCCUAGUUUAACGCUGGGGAAUGUCUCUGCAGAAGGCAACUCUCGGCAGCAGGAUGUGGUGGUGCCAGGUGAUGACACCCGCUGUGCGGAUCUGAGAGCUGAUAGCUGAGCUGAGGGGUGAUGAAUGUUGAGGGGUCUGUUUUGUCAUCAGGGGAAAGCUGGAAGGGAAUGGUAAAACUGGAAGAGUGUUUGUUGAGGCUCUGUUAUGCAGGGGUGAAGUGAGUGAAGAGGACUGCAGGCUGUAGAUCUGUCAGUCACUCUUCAGCCCAGUACWACCUACUGCAUACUUUGCCUGAGGACCAAAGUGGGUUUACAAAGGACAACAGGAUUGGGCUGUGGGGUAGCAGCUUUGACCCUGAUAGACAAGGUGGGGGAGAGAACCUCAUUGGGUCAGUUUGAGAACAUGGARUGGAAGGRUAGUAACAAGACUCCCAUCUGCUGYCACCCAUUCCCGGUCCCUGUUCCUCCAUCAGACAGGUCAGGACCAGAUUAAUCCUUCCUGCUACCACCUGCSCUYCUGGAGACAUCUUUAUAUGCUAGGCUUCCAAUUUGACUGCUGAGAACCUCUGCUGUACAAAUUGUGCUGAAUGUGUAAAGAAUGCACCAUUAUGUUUAGUCAUCUUUGCAAUACAAUUACCURAAUUAUUUCAAACUCAUGAAAUUUAUACUGUCUAAGGUGAAGAGAAUUUUCCACCUUCUACCUUUGAUUUAAUAAAAUCAUAGAAUAUAGUGAGCUGGAAGGGACCCACAAGGAUUAUCGAAUCCAACUCCUCAACAGGGGAAUUUCUCUUGACAGGGGAACGUAGUAGGAGGGAUAUUAAUGGAAAGACAUAUUUGUAUAACCAAAUAGAUAUGUAUACAUACAAACACACAUGCAUAUAUAUAUAUAUAUAUAUAUAUAUAUGUAUAAAACAUCAUCUGGGGCCUCAUCUUCAUUUGCCUACUGCUGCAGGUAAUGAAAUCAAGCUUGACUCUGCUAAGUCUGGUAUUAUGGGAUCACAAUCAGGCACAAAUAUCUGUUACUGGAUCUCAUGCCUCAUCUGUGUUCAUAGUAACUAAUCAAAUCAAACAAAUUCAGUGUAAAUCAGUUUUAAGUCAGCUUAAACAUAGUCCCRUUAAGAUUUCUGUCACUUUAACUAAACAGAAUUAGAAAAACACUUUAUCUAGAUCAACGACUCUUUGACUGAACACAGGAUAUUAGUUAGCCAUUCUCCUUCUCCAUUCACCAGUCACAGGAAAGAAACAUUAUUAUCACAGCAACCUGUGAAUCCAGUCAAAAUUUGCCARUGUGGCCAUUAUUCAUAGUGAUGCUUCUAUGAAUUAUUUUGUAUAGUACAUUUURAGGAAGCUACAAGGAUUCAUAAAACACAAGAGAAAUUGAGUAUUCAUAGCAAAUAAUGUAGUCAUUUUGAAUACAGAAUUUUAAAUAAUCUUAAAACAAGUUAGACCUCUCAAGCACAUUACUAUAUAUUGUUUUUGAGAAACAGUGGUAGAAUGCUAUAACAGGUUUMGUUACUGAACCUUUCCCUGUUAACUGUAGAAAUGAUAAGGUUUCUUUUCCAAAUGAUAAGGUUUCUUUCCCAAAUAGUUGUUAUGCUGAAAGAAACUUUGAGACCUGAAAAGGUUACCUGUUUGAGCACCAUCAAUAGGAUUAACGCCAGUUUGGGUAUCCUCUUUCUCUUUUUUUUAAAUUUUUCAAUUAUGAGAAACAUUUGGAUGUUGUGUGUUCAUUUCCCACCCCACCACCCCUCCCCUGCAUUUUUUCCCUUAUGAAAUGUAUGGAAAGAAGGAGAGGAAGAUCAGUGAUGAGCACGUUUGAAAAUGCCACCUUCCCCAAGGUAGAAAUGCUKCUGAUAUGUGAUUUUACAAGAAAGGAAACUGCAUUUGAUGCCAUCUGUAGUCCUGGACCAAACCCAAACUUGCAGAUUAAAGAUACURUAUAAUUCCUACUUCUUGGAAUGUUAAAUGGCUGUGACACAUGCUGCUUUUACCCUACCUUUGUUUCUUUGAGUUCAUCGCUUAAGAAAGGAUCAGACAAAACAUCUGUGUUUUUUCAGUUGGUUCAGAAUGCAGAAACUUCUUAAAACGUCAUGUUCUAAACACUGUGUUUGAAUAGGAAUUGCACUGCAAAUUUUCCUCCUUGUUUCAGUAGAGAAACCAAAUCUCUUAGAAUAAACAAUUUUACAAUAUCUAUGCUUUUCCCUUAUAUUUUUAUUUCUUUUUCUUUUUCUCACGUAAGUGGAAAUUUUGGCUUCAGAAAGAUGCAAGGUGAAAGCGUUCAGCAGCAAAGAAGUUUUAUGUGGCUUCAGGACAGAGCUGUUGAGUGUUUGCYUGUCUCUAUUUGACUUGAAAACAGUACCUGGAGAUGGCUGUUUGUUUAUAUGGAGUGUUUGGGUGUGAGGGGCAAAGCAAGCAGAUUAACAUUCACAUUUCUUCUCUGCUUUUUUUCUCUGGCUCCCACACAUGAGCCAUACCCUGCAGGGAAGGGUGGGGCAAAUUGUGUGUGUUGCUCCUUAUUUCACCAUAAACUUUGUUCUGAGUACUAGGACUCUUAAGGGGAAAGGCAGACCCYGUUUUAACACCAUUGGAAGUACGAUUUACUCCUCUGCAUAAUCAAUAUUAUGGUUAAUGUGACUAGGGAGAAAGGUCAAUAAAAUCUGUAUCAUUCCAGAAUGAACUAGAUACAGGGGGACACUUUCAAAGGUUCAGGAAAUCUUUGCGAGAGGGAGCCCGAAUUGACACCAUGCAGUCUCCUGGCCCCAAGGAGGAGUAUCAGCAAAGGUAUCAGGGAAAUCCCAAGGUAUGAGGGAAAAGUUGCUUAAACUCUUACAGCCCAGACACCAUAUGCCRGAGACAAUUCUUGACCUGUGAAGUUUUCAGGGAAGGUGUGCAAGGCAGAUGCAGAGGUAGCAGCAACUCUCCAUUACACAUAUGAGGUUUUUGAGCUACAAACUUGCCAAAGGUUAUAUGGGGAGUAUGUGCAGAGGCAGGAAUUUAUUACCCCUUGCCCAAAUCUCAGGCAGAUGCCAGAUACAGAUGGGUAGUUUGCUGAAUGUCUCAGUCUGACUCCUGGAAAGUAYUCUUGCAUUCCCAGUGUUACCAGUGAGUUCCCCAGCUUAGAAUACAUUUAUUUUUAAACUGCACAAACAGGGAAUACAUGUUUUGACAAACAUGUGCCAGAGUGUUGAGUGCUUUGCCCCUGAAACUUCAUCAUGCCUAACUGCUCAUUAAACCUGCUCCCUGGGAGAAUCCGUCAGUCCUCCUGUGAGCUCCCAGGCAGAGCCUGAGAGACUGCAAGGUGCCUUUCUCAAUCCAGCCUGGCCCUUUUUUUUUGUUUAAAUCACUAGCAAAGUUGAUGGUAGAGCUUACAGAGAGUGUGUUCCACUCACAAAAUAGACAAACUACAUUUGAAAUGUGGUAUUUUAUACCCAAAUGUCUUUAUCUCAUUUUAUCAGAACUAAUUUGUUCAGCUUAUUGGUGCAGCAUAGGUUGAAUUUUGAAUGUUGCAUUGAUAACUCUAAACUGAUACCAGUAUGCACACAGGACAGCUGAUGAUGUGGUAUCAUAUCUGGCUUCAAGGACAUGUCUUACCUUGGGCAGAGUGGAGUCCUCCCUCAACAGAGUUUUAUAACUCCUGAAGAAAUCUUUCUCAGUGUUACAUAUGUAUGAAGUGCAGGUGGUGGAUGCUGAGCUUAGUACCACAAUAUGGAGCAAAAUAAUCUUGUAGUGGGAAUUCCUGCGAUAUCUAUCCCCAAGGUCACAGUGAUGAGCAGGUGGCAACUUGAGUAAAAAGCAGGACACAAACAUGUCAGAAGUUCCUGUAACCCUAGUUAUCCUAGGAUCUUAUUUGUAAGGCAGGGGGGAAUAACUGCAUGUUUCAACCCUUCUCCUUACAGUGAAGUUCAGUAAAGCAUAUCUGUUUGAGAUCCCCAAUAGAUCAAUGCAUUAGAAUCACCACUGSUUGGCUGAGCCUGGAAGAAGUAUGUGUGGCUACCCAAAGAGGCUUUUUCUCUCUCUUACCCAGGUCACGCAUUUCUGCCCUCUGGUGUCCCAGCAGCAGCCUUGUUCUUUCUUCUGCCUGAAGCUUCUUUUCAUUUGGUUUGGGUUUUUUAACAGGUUAGUUUUCAGGCAGGUGUGUAGAUGGAUUUGACCCCUUACAUUUGCAUUGCCAAACUGGGAGAUGCUGAACCCAACAAAAGGAAAGGGGCCCAUCUCUUUUGAUUUUAGCUUUUUGUUGAAGUGAUUGUGAAAGUGCAUGCAAAGCAGGCUCUUCUGUUCAGGGUGAACUAAAGCCUUCCAAAUGUAAGUAUAGGGAGUUAAUUACAGCAUUUGCACAGCCCUUUUCUCACACAUGGCUAGACCACAUAAUGUUUCAUGRCAUUACCAGCAGCUCUGGCAAAAUCUAUUUCUUGGACAUUUUAGCUCCUCCAGUGGCUGGAGUCGUGGUGAAUUUCUGCAAGUGCAAGRCACGAUCAGCAUCAUGUAGUACCAGUGAAGCUUCUGAAUCUGUAGAAGUGUAUGGAUUAGAGCAGUUAUCUGAUCAAUAAGGUGUUUUAUAAGUCACUAGUGAAAUGACCAUCUUCUCAUUGAAGGAUGUACAUAUAGAAGGUGUUUUUUAGACAAUAUAAUCAAGAAUGUUACUCAUUUAAGUUGUCCUUUGCAUUACAUAUCCACUCUUUGCUUUAGAAGUGACUCCAUAGCUGGCUUGUGCUCCAGUUUUGUACGGUUUAGACAGUAGAUGUCUGAAGUUAAAUUUGAUGCUAUGGCCCUCCAAACAGCAUUGCAACAUGGGGGAUGGGCAGCAGGCCUUUCUCCUUGAUCUGUGAUGUUCCCUUUGGGCUCCAGAGCUUCCAUCACAUCAGGGAGGGGGAAGGGAGACUAACGAUAUCUGGAAAUCUUCAUUGUAAACAAGGCCAAUUAUACACAUGUCAAUUACUUCAGUUUAAACAACCAAUCRCACUAUAAUGGGGAGAGCCCUUUGAGCCUGAGGAAGGUGCUUUGAAAUGCCUCUGCUCAGAGAUCCCCUAUUAAUGCAGAGAAUUGCCCCAGCAGCAGUUCCUGGCUCCAGUGAGUGGAGUUUGGUAGCAAUGACAAURGAGCUGGGGAGAUUGGGAGAUGGAUGGAAGUGAUAUGACAAUAAAGGAGUUGAAAUUUGCAAUGAAACAGUAGCCAGUAGCAACUUGGCUGCAGGCUUGCUGUAUCAGCCAACACAAAUCCUUGAUGGUAGCGUGAAUGAAUUGAAAUUUUUUGUUACCUGCAUGUGUAGUCAUUGUCUUUGCAUCCAGGAWGUUGUUUACCUUGCACUUUACUGACCAGUCACUUUCCCAGGAAUUCUGCAACCUCAUCUAGCUUUGGGUCUUUCUAAGCCUCAAGUUAUCAUCUUCUCAUUUGCAGCACUACACUGCUUUUUUAGAAGGCCUGAUCCUGUAGUGAAUGGAGUCCACUGAGAAUCCUUUUAAUUUUGUGAGCUGCUGAUCAGGCCCUAUGUGGUUGAAUCGUCUGUUUGCAGCAGAGCUGCGUCAUCUACAUGGAGACAGACACUUCAGUGUAAUAAGGGCAGACAUUUCUCCUGUACAUGUGGAAGUGAAUUCCAGUUUUAAAGCAGUACCUAUGUGAUGGAAAGAAUACAAGAGCAUAGCCAGCACUGUGAGAUGCCUUGGAAGAAAGGAGUGGUGUAGAGUAAGUUACAACUUUAUGACUGUGCAAAAAUGAAAAAACAACUCAAACAAUUAUUCUUAUACCUAAUACUUAUGUAUGAGUUCACAGAAACAAUUUGAAAAUUUUCUGCUGGCUGUAAAAUCCCUUGCCAGCCUCAUUUAAGCUCAGCCUGUGAAAGAAAUGGWUACUAGUCACUUUUAUUACUUGCAGUGCAGAGACAGAGUAUUUUAGAGCCYGUCAAAUAAGUUGGGUCAGACCUUCUGUAGUCACUCUGACAUACCUGUGGUCACAGAGGGCUCUCUGCAGUCAUUGCUCAACUGGUGCUGCCCCAGGGAGCUCUUACAUCAGGUACAGCCUSCAUGAGCUGCGGACGUGCCAGCCUCCUGCACUGCCUCCAGCUUCCCACCGUGUCCCUGGUGGAGGUGCUGGAGGAGGGGGCCAAGCUGCUGUGAGCUUUGCUGGCCAGCCAGGCUGGUAUUUCAGCCCUKCCUGGGCCUGGGCCUGGGCCCCAGCCUCCUCAUGCUCUUCUGAAGUCUCUUUGGAGCCCUUUGGUCCAGCCUCAUCCAUCCCUGUCCCCUUGCUGCUUUAGUACUACAUUCAUGAAAGUAGUGUCUUUGAAUGGGUCUAGCCAUGCUGGAAAAUGAACAUUUUUAGGGAAACAACAGUGUAGAAACCAAUGGCUGUAAUGUGUUUCUCUGCACUGGGAAAGGGAGGAGGAGCUGGCUGCUGGCAGCAGGUUGUGUUAGCACAACACUUCAGGAUGACUAAAUCGCUCAAGGUAAAAAGGUGGUGAAAUUUGAUUUGAGCAGCUGUCAACUGUGAGAAUGUACUUAUCACAGACUGCUCCCACUAACAUGGAAAGAGACUGCAUCCAAGCUCUCAGCAGCACCCAGUGCAGCUGUCGCUCUGUCCCGCUUUCAAAGACUCCAUGAGAUGGGAGUGACAAGGAUGUGAUGCUCCAGCCACCCUUUCCCCUGGCUGAGCUCAAACCAGAGGCAACUGGAAGAAGUCUGCAGCUAAUUUCCAUGRAGCAACACAAGUCAUGAAAUCCACUUCAUGAGACAUUACAAAAAGCACCUCUCAGCUUUUUCCCACAACUACCAAGGUUUUAUUCUCUGUUCAUGGAUAACUCUGCCUGUAUGAUCCUCACCCUUCAAAGUGGUGCCCAUCAGUGUCAUAGUUGCACCGCAGCAGCUCCCAGCCCAGCUGAGCUCCCCUAAAGAUGCCACAAGGAGUGUUUGGUAUGGAAGUGGAAUUCCCCCAGAACUUUAAGGGGAGGCCACUUCUUGCAGUCGAAAGAGAAGACCCAGAGUGUCUAAAUCUAUAAUCCCAGUGACUGGAACUUCAGCCUGCAGCAAGCUGAGCAGACUUGCUUUUAGUUUUCUCUUGAAUAGCAGCAUCGAAGGUUACAGCUCUUGUGGUGCUGGUGCCAUCUAGUCAUAAAUUUAAAUCAGAGUUUGACUCUGCAUCUUCCCUCGUGGAUUUUAUGUCUUAGGCUACUCUUUCCCAGAAGUUGAGGGAUGAGCAGUUACAUGUCUGAACUUGCAGUCAUAAUUCUGYGGCCAGUUAUCAGACAUGAUACAUCAAGUAUUUGCAUCUGAUUAAAAAUGACUGUGUACACAUGCCUCCUCUUUAGCUGCAGUAUUCCUCAGUCAUGUUGAAUGUGUGAACUCAUGAAUGAUGCUCAUGUGAAUAAUCAUCUAAAACAACCAGAGGUUUUUUUUCCCAGCUGGCUCACCCAGAUCUGCCUCUGCCUUUGUUCGAGAAGGAUCUUUUUCUGUUCUUCCCGGUGUUUGCUCUGUCACUUAGCUUUGCCUUUUAUUUUAGGUAUAGGCUGCAAGUGUCACUGCUUUCUCCAGUGUUCCUGGCAUUUAUCUCAGAAUCUUCAGUUCUUUCAAAUGCCCUUAUUUCCUUGGUUUCAUACACUCCUACCUGGUCUUCGUGGUCUGGAGCAUACUGAGUUUCCAGGUUUAAUUGAGUUUGAAAAGCACUAACACAGUUCUGGCCAUUGGUGCCCAUCCAUGUGAUCAGGACACUGGAAGCUCCUGCACCCACCAAUCUCUUCAACAUCUGAUUUCCAAAUAAUGCAUCAGUUGUUAGCAACAUCCUGGGAGGGCUGGUGUGUGUUUGAAAAGCUUCUCUUGGGAAGGAGACAGCAUUUGCACUUGCAGCCAAAUAACUCAGCCUCCCAAAAAUGAAAAUAUGUUACUUUUUUCACCUCUGGACUGUGAUGGAGUUGAGGAGGACAACUGUGGGUGCAGAACACUACAAGAAAUUGGAUAAGUGUCAGCCACCCAAGGGCUGUGGGGUUCAUCCCCACCCCUGCUCUUGUGAGCACAGACUGAUACACCACAGACCAUGGCAUAUGGUCAGAUUGAUCACUGGUAUUUGCGUAUAGAGAUGCACAAAGCCUGCCAGAAUUUCAACUCUUCAGACGUAUUUUCCACACCACUACUGAAACCACUUCUAAUAGCGAAGUGUGAGGCCUCUGCAGGUUCUUGUAACAUCCCAGUGAUCUCUGGGAGAAGGCUGGCAGACGCUGCCUGUGUUUGGGGCACACCGGCCCCCUCAUCCUGCACAGCACAGCCCUUGCUCAGAGCCACAGCAUCUGGUGUCCUAGGAAGCACCUCAGCAGCACGUAAUGUGUUAGCACUUCUUGAGAAAUAUUUUUGCAUUGCUUCAURCCCCAAAUGAUUGCCUAAGCCCCCUUCCCUCCACUGCUCACAUGCAUUUCAAAUCCUGCCCCAUCCAACUUGCCAAUUUUCCUCAGGCUCAUCAUGCAGAGCAGGAGGUUGCGUGCUGCAGCAUGGCACCCACUCCCUCACACUCCUGAGGAGACCUCUCCCCUUUCCCAGCUAGCCCUGUAAGUAGUGGCCCUGGCAUUUGGGCCAUCAUGCCCCUGAGGGAGCAACUGACCCUGCAGGGGACAGCAGAGAACCUCACCAUAUGGACAGGAGCUGUGUUUAACUGCCCGUACCCAAGCCAGAAAGCAGACCAUGACCUAUUUUAUUUACAAGUAGUGACACAGAGCAUUCCUGGCUUCCCAUCCAAAGCCUKUCCCUGUGUCCAGCGAGGUCUGCCCCUUCACAGUGCCAAGCUCCCCACAAGCCCCCGCUCCCAGCACCUGCUGCAGCACUGGCUAACACUCAGGGAACCUGAUCCUUCCCAGUGCCACCCGCUCUGCUCCUCAUAACCAUUGCCAAACUUCAACUAUUUUAAGAUGAAACUGUCCUCGGGCUAUCUACCUCUAGCCUGCAUUUGAAACUUAGCCAGGAUUGGUGGAGGGGAUGGGCCAUUUGCAGGAGGAGCCUUGGGCCAGGCACUGGGGUGCUCACCCUGGGCAGAGCAGAUGGUUUUAUCACCUUUCUCUUGAGAUGUCCUGACAUCACUGCUGCAGCUUGGCAUGGGGCAUGGGUCUUCCUGGUUUUCACCAAAUCCCAGUCAGGUUACAAGCUGUUUAAAAGCAUCCCCAUAUGUACACAGCAGACCUGAGUUCCUGUGGGGUUUUCUGUUAUUAAUGGCUGAUCUGGUUUCCAGGAACUGGUAACUGCCAGUUGGAGCAGGAACAUUUUGAAAACCACUAACCCAUGCAUACCCUCUGGUGARUGAUAAAUUACAAGCUCUUGUGGCCACUUUUUCUACCAUUUGGGCGGUGUCUUUUAUCUCUUUCCUCCCUCUAGUACUUUAUUUAUGUGAAACUAAUAGGUGGUUAAUGACAUGUCUGACAUCCAGUUGAGUCAGCCAGUGGCUUCACAGCUCAGCACGGGAUGACAGGCAGAUGAACAGCCAGACACACAGACAUACAUGCUCACACAUGUAUGCACACACACACACACACACACACACACACACACACUCACACACACUCACACAGGACUGCAUAAGAUGUUUCUCUCACAAAGCUGGAUCUACAGCAAUGAUGGAACUACAGUGGCUUUGGCCAGUGGUGGGCAUUUUUCAAAGGCAGUGACCUGUAGUCAGGAUGGAGAGAUGUCACUCAGGGGAAAUGGGGCUCGCUUUUCCUUUUGGCAUUUAAAAACCCCAACAAYUUGUAAAUCGUUUUUCAAAGGCUGUUCAGGUGACAUGCCCAUGCCACUGGACCCCUGUUCAGGCCACCCCAAGCCCUGCACGGGUCCCCGCUGGAAUAGUGCUUUUGCCCUGACCAGAGAUUGUGUGAACUCUUAUUGCAAGUCCGUGCUGGGGUCCUGGCCCUGCCGUUGUCCAGCUGACAUGUGUGUUUGUGCCUGUUUUGAAAGCUGUAGCAAUACAGCUUUGUUUUGACACCAGCAGUUACAAUAAUUUUAGUGCUCUCUGUGGGGCACAUCUGUACUCAGGUCUGGAGCUCCACCUGUGACCCCAGAGGUAUCCAGAACUAUCCAUGCUCUCUCCUGAGUGCCAAAUCCUGCAGUUUGUUAUACAGAGAAAGUGACUUGGUCCUCAGCAGCUGCUUGUCUGCCUACCUGUUCUGCRUUUGUGGCUGUGCACUAAGCCCUGCAGACUUCCAGACUGGAGAAAUUAAAUAGCUGGCAAGAGCAAGCAAGACAGUGAAGGAUGGAAAGUGCUUUCAAGGAGUUCUUUAUUGCUUUGGUCUCACAAGCACCAUGCGGGAAAACAUCAGCCAAUUUCACAUGCACUCUCUGGAGAGCUGCUGUGGUUUAAAUCCAGCCAGUAACUCAGCCUGACUCACUCACUCACUCACUCACUCACUCACUCACUCACUCACUCACUCACUCACUCCCCCUUCAUGGAUAAGGGAGCAAUUCAGAAGGGUAAAAAUGAGGAAACUCAUGGAUUGAGAUAACUACGUGUAAAGCAAAAGCCCCAUGUGCAAGCAAAGCAAAGCAAGGGAUUCAUUCACCACUCCCCAGGGGCAGGCAGGAGUUCAGCCACCCCCAGAAAAACAGGGCUCCAUCACAUUUAAUGAUGGCUUGGGAAGACAAAUAGCGCUGCUCUGAACAUGUCACCCUCUUCCUUCCUUCAUCCCCUGGCUUUAUAUGCUGAGCAUGAUGACAUGUGGUGUGGGAUAUCACUGUGGUCAAUUGGGGCCAGCUCCAGUAUCAUCUGCCAGAGCAAUGACAAGUGUCUAAAGGUGUCUGUAGUGGGCUCAACCAGGAGCUGAUCUCAACAAGGCCUGUUGGGAAACAAGUCCAAACRCUUUGGGAAUUUCUCUCUGUCAACCUCUACUUGCUGACUCUAGUAGUGAUCACUGAUGAGAUCUGAAAUGUGGAUCAAGGAACAGCUUAAGCRAGUAUUGCAACAACAAAAAUAGAGAAUUCACACAUGAACAUUAUUUUCCACAAGAAUGAAUCAAAGCUCUUACUCUGCCAGCACCAUGCAACAGCACAAGUUACUUUCAGCAGUGGGGUUGGAGGUGGUCGUACUCCACAGYGGACUUUGCUUCAACACAGAAAUGCACAAAGGAUUCAGUUCUAGUCUGAGCCGAGAUGACCUACAGAGCCAGGACUCUGUGCCUGGUGUUUUGCUGUGGCUGACUUCAUUCAUGGGGACCUGCACAGGGAAGUUGUGCAAGCCUGGUAAUGUGCACAUUUAGAAGGCAGCGGUGCAAAACCACACUUAAGUCACAGCUGAACACACUUGAUGAGGGAGACAUUGAUAGAUUUCACUAUAUUUAGAUCAGCCUAGACCUUCUGAAAAAGCAAAAACAGCAAAAAGGAAGGAGGACAAAGAAGGCAUUUUCUUCCAUAAGGCUGUUAAAGAAUAAUGAAAUGAAACAGGCAAAGAAAAUAUUAACACUUACUUUGCACUCUGGCUGAAUUCAUGUGUGUCCACAAAUCUCCUAAAUUUGGCAAAGUAAUGGAAGACUUAACAGGAUGCAUGUAGUUCCAGCCUGGCCUGUCUCUGUUGGAAKAACUUCUUGAAAUAAUGUCUCAAGGUCUGACUCGAGGACAUUCUGGGGAGGUAAAAGUUAUAUCCUUAUUGCUUUCUAGGUAAAAAGGGAGUGAUUUAAGGCCUGGAUUGAAACAGGAUCUUUUAUAGAGAAACAGAAAUGUCAACCCCAAUUUUGAAGUUCAYCCCCAAAGGAGAUCUGGAAACAAAUUUCUGAAAGAAGCAAAGCAGUGUUUUAUGGGCAUCUUCCACCUUCAAGAAUGCUGAAUACUUCUCGUAUCUUUAAUCAAAAGUAAACUGAGAGAGUAAGGAAAGGAGGUUUGCUCAGCCAAGCAAGCAGAGGCCAGGGAUACAGCACUUCCAGCAUCACUCUGCACUGGGGCUACAGGGGCRUGUGCUCAGAGCAGGACAGACCUGCAGGGUCUCUCCUUCCAUUCCUGCCACCCAGAUCCCAACCUCCAGAAGUGGAGUCUGCCUCCAAAAUCCCUACAAGAAAGCCCCACAAACAAAACUACAUUUCUCUCAAGUUGCCAAGGGYUCCUAGGCAUCGAGGAAGGAGUGCUUUCUGCUAGAUCCUCAGCUGACUGCAGCUUCACUUAGCAAAAUCAUGAUCUAGAACUGCAAACAGCAAUUCUCAGACAGAUCAUGGGCCCUUCAGCUUCAGAAGCAAUACAAGAUAUAAGUGUUAAUUUGUGGUUAAGGCAUAUUUAUUGGGAACAGCACUGAACGGUGGCUUGGCCUUUCCUGUAGCACAGCACUGAACUGCCAAAAUAAAGAAGCAUUAAAAGUUAAUAAAAAGGUCUGAAACAUGUUCAUUAAAAUACUUGGAAAACUUUGCAGUUUGGCUUCAUACCAUAGAACGAGUAUGUGAGAACUUGACUGGGCUUGCCUGCCUCUUUUGCAGACUUUCUUGACUUAAUACUUAUAAAAAUAUCACCUGGCGCCUGAUGCCGUGUUAAAAAGCCCCUACCAUGUCAGGUACUGUUGUAAUUUGCCCUGGAAAUGCAUCUGAAGCAAAGGAAUGUGUGAGCACAACUUCAGAGCUCAAACAGAGAAAACACUGGUUGUUACAUAAAUCAGUGCAUACAGAUGGCAUUUUGCUUAUUUUAACCAUAAGCCCAAAGUUCCAGGGGCUGGUAACUUUGCCACCCCACUCUGGUUCAUAUUCUGCCUCUGAUAUGGAUGGAUAUUGCAGGUAUUGCUCCCAGAGCAGGCUGUGUAGAUACCACAUUUUCAGGUGUCCUGGCCAUAUCUGGAACCAUUUCAAGGAAAAUCUAGCCCUGUAUUUGACCUCAUUGUUCUAUUUGCUCACCACACUAAUUAGGUCGGGCAGAGGGAAGGCCAACAAGACAGGUAGGAUGGACUAUUUGCAUAGCUGCGAGCGGCUUCUAUCUGAUUGAAUGGAGUGGAUUGAACUAUGGGUGGAUUGUGGGUCAAGAGGUUGUUUGAGUUUCACAUUCAUGGAUGCCCUCUCCACAGCCAACGCUUUCGGCAGCCAUCCUGCAGCACUCUGCGCUGCUGCUCGGUCGUGAACUGAGGGCUGGAUGCCAAACUGCCGGGCAUCAGGACUGCUGUGGCUCUGGACCCAUGUGGCACCCUGG